UAUCUUGUGGUUUAGUUGGAAAAUAUUGGGGUCAGCAAGCGAGCGUUUUCCAAAGGGUCCCGGGUUCGAAUCCCGGUAGCGGAA